GAAAGAAAGGCCGGAAGUGGCGGCGCGCUGAUUGGGGCCAGCCGGGAGACACGCUGUGGCCCGGCCAGAAUGAAAGGAGAAACCAUUUCAAAGCAGUGGGGACAGUCUCAUGCAAGUCCAUACAUCUGUUCAUGAUGUAUGCUCUGUGGAAAGGAGGUAGAGACCCGAGCACCCUUAUAGAGACUGAUUGAGACACUCACUCUGGCCUCCAGUUUCUGGAUCUGCUUCUUCCCGCCCUUCA